AGCGCUAUAUGCAUACACGUCAAGAUAGGUCUGUACCAACAGGUUUGAACAGCCUGGUUUAGUGUGAGCAAGUUCAGCUCUGUCUGGAUCUGUCUGCAUAGACAUGCUAUAGAUUUCCCCUUUAAACAGAACUUUUUAUCUGAUUCUUUAGCACAGACACGGAACCAUAUAUUUGAAAGAGAUGGAGGGAUAUGUUCUGGUCUUCUGUGUGUACGUUCUGUUCAGAACAUUCUGAGAGCUCAGAAUAUCAUCAGAGCCAGAGGGAGACAUAAAAGAAAUAUACUGAAGACAGGAGAAUGAGACAUGCCGCAGAAGAAACAGUGUGGCUGCCCUUGAAUGCCUGGUGAUGGCAUAUUGUGCUUUGCUGUCAGUCUGUUGACUCAUGUACACUUCAAAAGAGCUCUCAGGAGAGGCAGUUAUGCGAGUCACUGCCUGAUGCACUGUAAAUCAUGGCUGUGCUUUUUUUGUUAUUUGAACGGGCGUCGAGUGAGCCUAAUGCUGUUUUGAAAGAUCAUCUAAUGUCAUUGGAACUCAGGGAUUUCAAUGAAUGUGGGGCAGAGGAUGAGGGAAUGCUCGCCCUCAUGGACAAGAUUAGUCAGAGCUACUUCAGGAUUGUCUGGUCAUCUCUUCUUUAGUAUCAUGUGCUGCAGGUCAAAGCAAAUAAAGCGGUAAGAAUCAGGAGCUUCAUGGAGGUUAUGCUGAACAGAGGUGUAUCCAAAAUCUUAGUGUGCUCUCGCCUCCAUGUCCUCUCUCUUGAAGCUGUACCCCUGAGAUUUGAUGAAAAAGCAGGACAAGAGCUUUAGAGAGUUGGUGCAGGGAUUGGUACUGUCAGAUGCUUUUUUGUCAUCGCCUUUCCUCUUAAGAACAAACAAAUGCUUCCCCUCUAAGGAGUAAGGCAGUAAAGGGAUACCAGGUGGCACUGAAUAAACUGUGAAAUGCUGCAGUCAUAAUGCUGUAGUAGAACCACAUCAGGAAUUUUAGUCCAGAUUCCUAAGGAAAGAACUUUUUACACUGUGUUGCUUUCGUCUGAUGGUCUGCAGGAUAUCUCCAUAAUUUUAAAAGUAGGCCAGCUUCAAAUAAACUUUGCAGAAUGGAAGAGGCUUGUUGUUCUUAAUGAAGAUGAUUGAGGGGGUCAAGGUGAAUCUCCCCACAGAAGGAAAGGUUUAGAUUGGAGUUCAGGUGUGUUCUUAGUGACAAACCAACAAGGGGGAAAUUUUGAAUGCCCUGUGUACAAGAAAAACUUUGAACAAAGUUUGCAUUCUAGUUGAAAUGGGAUGGUAAAAACAUGAGAUGCAAAGCUAUAGGUAACUCUGAAAAGCAUUUUACUUUCUCUGUUUGUAAAGUUGAAAUUGUGCUGCUUACAGUUACAAACUGGAAAUUCAGAGCACAGAACCAACUAUGUAAAGACUUGCAGAACCAUAUUAAACCACAAUAUCGAAGACAAAGAUUAUUUCUGAACCUCUGAUGCUGUCAAUUCAGGAGUUCCCAGGGCUAUCUGGUUUGCCUUUUGCUUUGCUGCUGAGAAUGGAAGAAAUCACAUCUCUUGAGACUGCUGCGGGGAUUGUUUUGAGCUAUUUUAAAAUUCACAGGAGAUAGUUAAGAAAUUCACUUUCUUAUGUUGCUUUACAAAACCUAGGAGUAUUAUUUUAGAUGUCCUUCAGUGAUACUGUGAUUUCCAUAUACUUUAAGAAUAG
ensembl:lncRNA